AACGGGGAUUGCCUCAGUAACGGCGAGUGAAGCGGCAACAGCUCAAAUUUGAAAUCUGGCGCCCCCGGCGCCCGAGUUGUAAUUUGCAGAGGAUGCCUCGGUGCGAGGCCGCGCCCAAGUCCCUUGGAACAGGGCGCCUCAGAGGGUGAGAGUCCCGUUGGGCCGCGGCCGACCUCCGUGUGAGGCUCCUUCGACGAGUCGAGUUGUUUGGGAAUGCAGCUCUAAGCGGGAGGUAAAUUUCUCCUAAGGCUAAAUACCGGCCAGAGACCGAUAGCGCACAAGUAGAGUGAUCGAAAGAUGAAAAGCACUUUGGAAAGAGAGUUAAAAAGCACGUGAAAUUGUUGAAAGGGAAGCGCUUGCGGCCAGACUUGCCGCGGCGGUUCGGCCGGGUGCUCCACCCGGCUUACUCCGCCGCGUCGGGCCAGCAUCAGCUUGGGCGGUCGGACAAAGGCCUGGGGAACGUAGCUCCCUCCGGGGAGUGUUAUAGCCCCUCGCGCAAUGCGGCCUGCCCGGGCUGAGGCUCGCGUUCUGCUAGGAUGCUGGCGUAAUGGCCGCAAGCGGCCCGUCUUGAAACACGGACCAAGGAGUCUACCAUCUGUGCGAGUGUUUGGGUGUCAAACCCGUGCGCGUAAUGAAAGUGAACGGAGGCGGGAGCCCCCGGGCGCACCGUCGACCGAUCCUGAUGUCUUCGGAUGGAUUUGAGUAAGAGCACAGCUGGUGGGACCCGAAAGGUAAGCAACCAAUCCUUUUCUUCUACUUUAUAAAUGAAAGCUAAUAGAAAUUUCCCAGAUGGUGAACUAUGCGUAAACAGGGCGAAGCCAGAGGAAACUCUGGUGGAGGCUCGCAGCGGUUCUGACGUGCAAAUCGAUCGUCAAAUUCGCGCAUAGGGGCGAAAGACUAAUCGAA
rnacentral:rRNA from 1 species